rnacentral:rRNA from 1 species
CCUACGGGUGGCAGCAGUGGGGAAUAUUGGACAAUGGGCGAAAGCCUGAUCCAGCCAUGCCGCGUGUGUGAAGAUGGCCUUCGGGUUGUAAAGCACUUUCAGUGGGGAAGAAAGCCUUGGGGCUAAUACCCUCGAGGAAGGACAUCACCCACAGAAGAAGCACCGGCUAACUCCGUGCCAGCAGCCGCGGUAAUACGGAGGGUGCGAGCGUUAAUCGGAAUUACUGGGCGUAAAGCGCGCGUAGGCGGUCUGAUAAGCCGGUUGUGAAAGCCCCGGGCUCAACCUGGGAACGGCAUCCGGAACUGUCAGGCUAGAGUGCAGGAGAGGAAGGUAGAAUUCCCGGUGUAGCGGUGAAAUGCGUAGAGAUCGGGAGGAAUACCAGUGGCGAAGGCGGCCUUCUGGACUGACACUGACGCUGAGGUGCGAAAGCGUGGGUAGCAAACAGGAUUAGAUACCCUUGUAGUC